CCAAUAGGGUUAAUUAUUUUCCAUCUCUCUUUCAGUUAUACCGUACAACUCGACAUCGAAAUCAAAAUCAAAGGUUCUGGGUUUGUUCUGAAUCGAAAUCGAAGGCGAGGGGUUUGUCCUGAAUCGAAAUCGAAGGCCAUAUGUUCUUAUGAAGACGAAAAUGAAAUCGAAGGCUAAGGGUUUGUUCUGAAUCGAAAUCGAUGGAUCCGUAACAUGGACGUUCUAAUUUCAUCUCACAUGGAUCUUCUGAAAACGAAAACGAAAUCAAAGGAGGACCAAUCCGGUUUAGAAAAGCUAUUGGACAUCUUGGCAUCUUGCACCUGAGCUUGGGAAUCUCGAACAUUUACAAUAUUUGCUGCAGCAUGGACUCACAAACAGUACAAAGAAUGGCAGCUCUUGAGGCAGAAAACGAAUUGAUGGACUUGGAGUAUAAUGAAGAUGAAGAAUCCCAAGAAGAGGAACAUGAUGAAUUGAGUGUUAGAGACUUGGAGUGUUAGAGACUUGGAGAGUGGAGCUUUGCUUUACAUGACUUAUUGGAAUUUUGAUUUUUACACUUCAUGAAUAAAAACAUGUAAACUUUAGUUUUUUUAAUUUCAUACUUUGAAUUUGAGGACAAAAAUGAAUAAAAGAGACUUUUU